UUACGGGCAUAUCACCAUGAAACAUCGGUUCUCGUACAAUCACCGAAGUUAAGCAACGUCAAGUCUUGUCGGUACCUAGAUGGGUGACCGCUUCCAAAUACCAGGUGCUGUAAG
rnacentral:rRNA from 1 species